rnacentral:lncRNA from 1 species
GCAGCUUAAAGAGGGCCAUGGACAUGCCCUGGAAACCCACAUACACUAUCUGGUGUGUGACAUGUACCAACAGUUACAUAUUAACCAGAGUCUGGGAUAGUAGGACUUAGGUUAUGUGGGCUGGUGUAUAUAACUUUCUGAACGGUCAUUUAUUUGCUGUAUUUAUUAAGUAUUUUAUUAAUCAUCAUCAUAUUGUAGCGUAUGGCGGGAAGCGAAAACCUGAUCGCUGGCGUGAAAGGCAAACACCCUAGGUUCAUAGAGUAUCAGUCUGUUUGAACUGUGAACACCCUGGGUUCAUAGAGUAUCAGUCUGUUUGAACUGUGAACACCCUAGGUUCAUAGAGUAUCAGUCUGUUUGAACUGUGAACACCCUAGGUUCAUAGAGUAUCAGUCUGUUUGAACUGUGAACACCCUG